ensembl:ncRNA lncRNA:CR44263 long non-coding RNA:CR44263
AGCUGGAAGUUAUUCCACGUGGAUUUGAAUACUUAGCAGACUUUAUUUUGCAGAAAGCCUUAGAUAAAUAUGAAUAAAUAUUCAUCGGUUGCAGUUCAAGCUAUUGCCGAUAACCCAAAACCGUGUCCAGAAGUCACAUACAUCAUCCAUCAUCACAUGGUGCUUUCUUGAGAACUGGGGUAAAUAAUCGGGCUGGGCUGCAGGGGGCGUGGCCGCUGUUAUACGACCCUACGCCAGAGUGUGUACAGCUUAACACCGUGGCCCACCAAAAUUAACCACCCAAAUAUUUACCCAUGUCAGCGAUAAGAAUUACGAUUCUGACUGGGAUCUUUUGCACGACUGAUACGGCAGAUCUUUCGCAUCGCAGCUUCUCCAGACUCGCACGACUGGACGCUGAAGUUAGAGUUUAUCUUCCGGCUAUAUGUAUUUAGAUCGCCUGGUUUUGUCGCCUGUCUCAUCGCAGUUUUCAGGAGGAUUGUGGCCACUCCGUUACGAUGGUUAAACUAAGGUCUUUUACAACAAAAUUUAACAAAGAGAUGUAAUCUUCUGUAAAUAAACUCACACUCGGUUACCUU